GUUAAGCGUGUAGGAUAACGUUGCGUCAGCAACGGCCCGUAGGGCGAGCGAAGCGAGUCAUCCUGCACGACCCACCA
rnacentral:sRNA from 1 species